GACGAACGCUGGCGGCGUGCUUAACACAUGCAAGUCGAACGGAAAGGCCCUGCUUGCAGGGUGCUCGAGUGGCGAACGGGUGAGUAACACGUGGGUGAUCUGCCCCUUAUUUUGGGAUAAGCCUGGGAAACUGGGUCUAAUACUGGAUAGGACCAUGCUGUAGGUGGUGUGGUGGAAAGAUUAGUUUCGGUAAGGGAUGAGCUCGCGGCCUAUCAGCUUGUUGGUGGGGUAAUGGCCUACCAAGGCGUCGACGGGUAGCCGGCCUGAGAGGGUGGACGGCCACAUUGGGACUGAGAUACGGCCCAGACUCCUACGGGAGGCAGCAGUGGGGAAUAUUGAACAAUGGGCGCAAGCCUGAUGCAGCGACGCCGCGUGGGGGAUGACGGCCUUCGGGUUGUAAACUCCUUUCAGCCAUGACGAAGCCCUUGUGGUGACGGUAGUGGUAGAAGAAGCACCGGCUAACUACGUG
rnacentral:rRNA from 1 species